GACGAACCGUGCGAACGUUGUUCGGAAUCACUGGGCUUAAAGGGUGCGUAGGCGGGCGGUCAAGUCUGUGGUGAAAUCCUUCGGCUCAACCGGAGAAUAGCUGGAGAUACUGGCCGUCUCGAGGGGGGUAGGGGCAUGUGGAACUUCCGGUGGAGCGGUGAAAUGCGUAGAUAUCGUCAGGAACGCCGAUGGUGAAGACAGGUGACUGGGCUAGUUCUGACACUGAGGCACGAAAGCGUGGGGAGCGAACGGG
rnacentral:rRNA from 1 species